UCUUAAUCUGAAAUACCACAUGGAAUAUUUAGAAGAUAUUAUGAAGACACCCCAUCUCAUGUUGACUAUUUAUUUAAUACUAAUAAUAUAUUUUACAUCACAUAUAUAUUAUCAAAGCAUUUUAUGGUUUCCACAUUUUAAGAAGAAACUCUAUGAUAUUGUUUUGAAGGCUCCAAUUAUAAAUAAUAGAGUUUCAAAGAAUUUGAGUGAAACAGAGCAAGAUAUUAGGAAAAAAUUGCAUCAGUGUUUUAAAAAUGUAAAAUAUAUUAACAAAAUUCCUGAAAAUGGGGUGGAAAAAAUAAGUAUUCUAGCAAUAUCGAAAGAGUAUAGAAAUAUUGAUGUUAAAUAUUUAAAUGAUGGAAAAAUAUCUGGUUGUUUGUAUCAUGAGGUAGAUUCCAAUCUGAUAGAUAUUCAAACUGAAUUAUACAAAAUGUUUGCUUAUUCUAACCCACUUCAUCCAGAUGUUUAUCCAAGUAUAAUGAAAAUGGAAUCAGAAAUUGUUAGAAUGUGUUGUAAUUUAUAUGGAGGAGAUGAUAAUUCAUGUGGGACUGUAACAACUGGUGGAACUGAAAGCAUUUUAUUGGCAUGUUUAGCCUAUCGAAAUUAUGCCAAGAAAUCUAAAGGAAUUUUAAACCCAGAGAUUAUAAUAGCAGAUUCCGCACAUGCCGCUUUUUUAAAAGCUGGCUCUUAUUUCAAUAUUCAAUGUAAAAUAAUUCCUACAAACAAGGAAACGUUUAGGCUAGAUCCUGCUCAUGUUAGGCAAGCAAUUAACGGCAAUACUAUAGCUAUUGUCGUUUCAGCUCCAUCAUACCCUCACGGUAUCGUCGAUCCAAUCGAGAUAAUAAGCGAAGUAGGACUUGAACAUGAUAUUCCAGUACAUGUUGAUGCUUGUUUAGGGGGAUUUUUAGUGCCGUUCUUAUUCCGAGCAGGAUUUCAUGAUGUAAUUCCUGAAGAAAAAUUAUUCAAACUUACAGGGGUCACCAGCGUAUCAUUAGAUACUCAUAAGUAUGGAUUCGCACCCAAGGGGAGUUCUGUCAUUUUGUACAACGAGAAAAAGUAUUUGCAUUCUCAGUAUUUUGUGGCCACAGAAUGGAUGGGUGGUAUGUACCCAUCGCAAACACUUUCGGGUUCAAGAUCUGGAUUGAAUAUUGCCUUAACCUGGGCUACAUUGUUGUAUUAUGGUCAAAAUGGUUAUAUUGAAUCUACCAGGAAAAUUAUCGAAUCAAUGAGAUACCUUAUGAAUAAAAUUAAAGAACUAAAAGGUAGCCUGGAUCUCAAGAUUUUAGGAGAUCCAAAAUUGAAUGUGAUCGCGUUAGGAAAUGAUAAGGGUAUUUAUGAUGUAUAUGAUAUGGGACAAGAAAUGAGUUUGAAAGGAUGGAAUCUCAAUUAUUUACAAAAUCCUCAUGGAAUUCACUUGUGCCUAACACACGUUCACACCCAACCUGGAGUCAUUGACGAAUUUUUGAAUGAUUUAAAAGGAUGCGAUGAAAUAUUAAAAAAUCGAUCUAAAUCACCAAAGGAGCAAUCAAAAAAUAUAGUAAGGUUACACAAAAAAAUUGCAUUUUUUUAAUCUCCGAAAAAGACAGCGACUAAAAAGCUAAAGAUUUAUUCAAAUAUUGGGAGAUUUUGAAAUUUGCAUUGUUGUUAAACACUACUUUUAAAAGGUGCAUUGUAUUGUUUCGCUCAAAGCAUAUCAGACCAAACACCUUUGCAGGAUGUCCUAAUCAACGGGUACUUGGAUGGAUAUUAUAGUCACCCUAGAGAAUUAUAAUUCUAUAAAAACGAACUUUUUUAUUAAUUAUAAUAAUUUUAAAUAAAUAAAUAUAAAUUUGUUGUUAUAAAUAUAUUUUUUAAUAAAUAAAAUUAUGGUAUAAGUUUUUAUACAAGAAAAUUAAUAUUA